AGAGGAGGAUGAUCGGGCCCUCGCACCAGACCUGUUUACCCACCAAUUAGCGUCAGACACAACGCCAGAAAGUUCCAGCAGUCAGCAACGGAGCGGCGGUGGCGACAAACGAGAAAAGCAACGAAACAGAGCAUCACCUCUUGGGAACAUGCUACAACUUUGUGCAACUAGAGAUGUUGCCAGCGCUGCCUGCAGGAGCAAAGGUCACCGCCUCUGUCCAUGGUGCUGAGGACUGAGCAUCAUCAGACGGGGGUGUGGCAGUGCUGAUGGCGAGACACAGCUGGCAGUAAGCGGCUGGGAGCAGGAGGAGAGAGAGGAUACGGAUGUGACUGAAAGGUCACGUUCUACUGGAG